GUUUAGCCACUCAUGAGAUACAUGACUUUGGACAGGUUUCUUCACUUAUUUAUUUUCAGUUUCCUUACCUGCAAAGAAUGAAGCUGAUACUGUGUUUCCUUGAAUCUAGAGUACAACUAAGGAAGAAAAAUUGCUGCCAAUUAAACUAUGACACAACAUUGAUUAUGAAGCUCAUCAAUUUUAGAGCUGUUAAAAUGUAAAAAAAAAAAAAAAGCAUAUUACAAUUGAGGAUAUAGGAUAGCACUUACUUCAUGAUACUGAUGUGAAGACUAAGUGAUAUAAUUCAUAUAAAUGCCUAGCAUUUUGUCUGCCACACAGGAAAUCCUAAUAAAUGAUUACUACUAUUUUUACUACCAGAAGGUGAUGAUUUGGGUAAUUCCAGCAAAUCAUUUAACCCUCUGUGCUUUAUUCUCUUCAUCUUUAAAAUGAAUGGGCAACCAUAUGGCUCUGCCACCCAGAAUUAGGAAGAAAAACUAAUUAGAGAAUGUUUUUAGGUCCUUAGCAGUUCUAAUUGUGAAACACUAUCAAACUCCUUCCGCUACUCAUCUUCUGCAUCUGAAAACUGAGAAGGAAAUAUUUUCUGUAUAUUUUUAUGUAUGUAUCUAUUUAGCUGAAAUUCCAAGGUCAUUUUAAAGUUCUAUAUUUCUAUUAUAAUUAUUUUUAAUAAUUAUGUAAUUAAUAUUUUUAAUAAUAAUGUAAGUUUUAUGUAUCCCUUAUAAUUAUUUAAAAGGAAUUUUAAAUAUAAUACUCUUAAUGUUGGGCAAACCUAAAGAAAUAAUAUGUGAUUGCAAAAUUUUGCAGAUGUGUGAACUCCCACAUAUUUUAGAGCACUGAUAGAGUUAAUCUGUUAUAUUGGCUAGGUGAAAAAGGGAAAUAAGUUUUAGGUUAUUGCAAAUGAUUAUUAAACACAAAAGAGAUUCAUUUAAAGCAAGUCCCUAAUAUUAGUCACAGAGCCCUUACCUCUUUGAGUAGUAAGAGACCGACCAAUAGAGCCAACAGUUGUAGUAGAGAAGUUCAAUUUAAUUCAGCUUUCAGUUAUUGAACCAUUAGUAUAAAGGAGGCCUGAUACUAGGUUAUAGACAUGAAAAGAAAUUUAAGAUGAAGUUCUUGCCCUCUAAGAAUUUAUAUUUGGAUUAAAAAAUGACAACUACUAUAAAAGUGAUAUGGGAAGCAGCAACCAGUUCUACCUGGGUGAGCAAAGGAAAGCUUUACAUGCUGUAAAGGAGUUUCUAAUACAGGCUGGGCAAGAGUACUGCCUGAACAGAGAAGUGUUUGUAGAAUUGAUGGGUAUAAAGACACAUGGAUUUCAUGUAGCUUUGCAU
rnacentral:lncRNA from 1 species